rnacentral:rRNA from 1 species
AGCGAACGCUGGCGGCAGGCUUAACACAUGCAAGUCGAACGGGCGUAGCAAUACGUCAGUGGCAGACGGGUGAGUAACGCGUGGGAACAUACCUCUUGGUUCGGAACAACACAGGGAAACUUGUGCUAAUACCGGAUAAGCCCUUACGGGAAGAUUUAUCGCCGAGAGAUUGGCCCGCGUCUGGUUAGCUAGUUGGUGGG